AGAGUUUGAUUCUGGCUCAGGACGAACGCUGGCGGCGUGCUUAACACAUGCAAGUCGAACGAUGAAGCCUAGCUUGCUAGGUGGAUUAGUGGCGAACGGGUGAGUAAUACGUGAGUAACCUACCUUUAACUCUGGGAUAAGCCCGGGAAACUGGGUCUAAUACCGGAUACGACCAAUCUCCGCAUGGGGUGUUGGUGGAAAGCGUUAUGUAGUGGUUAUAGAUGGGCUCACGGCCUAUCAGCUUGUUGGUGAGGUAACGGCUCACCAAGGCGACGACGGGUAGCCGGCCUGAGAGGGUGACCGGCCACACUGGGACUGAGACACGGCCCAGACUCCUACGGGAGGCAGCAGUGGGGAAUAUUGCACAAUGGGCGCAAGCCUGAUGCAGCGACGCCGCGUGAGGGAUGACGGCCUUCGGGUUGUAAACCUCUGUUAGCAGGGAAGAAGAGAGAUUGACGGUACCUGCAGAGAAAGCGCCGGCUAACUACGUGCCAGCAGCCGCGGUAAUACGUAGGGCGCGAGCGUUGUCCGGAAUUAUUGGGCGUAAAGAGCUUGUAGGCGGUUUGUCGCGUCUGCUGUGAAAGGCCGGGGCUUAACCCCGUGUAUUGCAGUGGGUACGGGCAGACUAGAGUGCAGUAGGGGAGACUGGAAUUCCUGGUGUAGCGGUGGAAUGCGCAGAUAUCAGGAGGAACACCGAUGGCGAAGGCAGGUCUCUGGGCUGUAACUGACGCUGAGAAGCGAAAGCAUGGGGAGCGAACAGGAUUAGAUACCCUGGUAGUCCAUGCCGUAAACGUUGGGCACUAGGUGUGGGGGACAUUCCACGUUUUCCGCGCCGUAGCUAACGCAUUAAGUGCCCCGCCUGGGGAGUACGGCCGCAAGGCUA
rnacentral:rRNA from 1 species